AAGCGCGGUGGUCCCACCUCCGCUCCCUACUCAUUACCACCAGUAACCUCCUCAUCCCGCCUCAGUUUUCCCAAAUGGAUCUUGAAAUCCGCAACAAUCCUCACCUUGCCCUCCGGUUCUUCCAUUUUACUGUUUGUAGUUAUCUUUGCUUUCCCUUCCUACGUUACCACAAUUCACAUUAUUUGUCAUUCCCGGCUUAAGUCCGAGGCUAAGCUUAAUUCGGUUAGCUUCCGUAAAUUCCCAGAAGUCCACCAGCCCAUUUCUCUAGCCCGCCUCCCAUUCUUGAUAUCUUGAUCAAAACUUGUAGGACCUAUGGUUGAUGGUUCUGCACCAUUUAUCUUCAAUUUGUUAAUCAAAGCUUGUUUAGAGUCGAAAAAGAACGAUCAAGGUCUCGGUUUAGAAAGUUGAAGUCCAAGAAUGUGUUUUUAAUAAGUAGUAUGUGUUAUUCUUUGAUUGAGUUGAUUUCCCAGAGUCGAGGUUGUUUUGCUGCGUAUGAUCUGUAUAGGGAAAUUUUUUUAUUUAGAUGGUGAAAAUGGAGUUUACGAUCGGAGAGGGUAAAUGGCUUUUUUCCAAUUGUGAAAUGUUUGAAGUGUUAAUGGUUGAAUUUUAUAGAGAAAGAUCAGUGAAGAAUGUGGAGGAGGGACGAAAAGAAAUGUGAAGUGUGGUUUGCUUGGGGAAUUCAUAUAGUUAUAGUGUCUACUUGCAGAGUAUUGUGGCAAUGUUAGAAUGGAGGAUGCCAUGAGGGUAUGGGAAGAUGUGCAGAACAAAGAUGUGAAGCUAGAUGCAGUGUGAUGUAGCAUAACAUAGACAUAGAAGCAAUCACAUGGAAGGAGAAGAGAGGGAAGUAGAAACCAGAUAAAAGAAAGAGAAAGA
rnacentral:lncRNA from 1 species